GAUGAACGCUGGCGGCGUGCCUAAUACAUGCAAGUCGAGCGAACGGACGAGAAGCUUGCUUCUCUGAUGUUAGCGGCGGACGGGUGAGUAACACGUGGAUAACCUACCUAUAAGACUGGGAUAACUUCGGGAAACCGGAGCUAAUACCGGAUGAUAUUUUGAACCGCAUGGUUCAAAAGUGAAAGACGGUCUUGCUGUCACUUAUAGAUGGAUCCGCGCUGCAUUAGCUAGUUGGUAAGGUAACGGCUUACCAAGGCAACGAUGCAUAGCCGACCUGAGAGGGUGAUCGGCCACACUGGAACUGAGACACGGUCCAGACUCCUACGGGAGGCAGCAGUAGGGAAUCUUCCGCAAUGGGCGAAAGCCUGACAGAGCAACGCCGCGUGAGUGAUGAAGGUUUUCGGAUCGUAAAACUCUGUUAUUAGGGAAGAACAUAUGUGUAAGUAACUGUGCACAUCUUGACGGUACCUAAUCAGAAAGCCACGGCUAACUACGUG
rnacentral:rRNA from 1 species